rnacentral:ncRNA from 1 species
AUAAAGACUGUGAAGAGGAAAAGUAAAUUAAGGGCUGUCAAAAGAGAGGGAGACUCAUCGGCUGAAAGGUUUCCUAGAUAAGUGAUAAUUGAAAAACCACCUCUGAGUUGAGUACUGAAACUAUAGUAAGUAUCUCCGCUUGCUGCGUUACAGCUUUCAAAGUGACAGUGAUAUUUUUAUCGAUUACUGUAAAUUAGGUGGAACCGCGAAGUACUCGUCCUAUUA